CUCCGAUGAUGAUACAGCCAUGCUAAUACUGAUGCACUGGGCAGUUUGUCUGCCUGGGUGUAAGUGAGUGCAACUCACCUUCUCACGCUGAUGUGA
ensembl:snoRNA